rnacentral:rRNA from 1 species
CUGGUCUUGACAUCCAUAGAGUCUGCAGAGAUGUGGGAGUGCCUUCGGGAACUAUGAGACAGGUGCUGCAUGGCUGUCGUCAGCUCGUGUUGUGAAAUGUUGGGUUAAGUCCCGCAACGAGCGCAACCCUUAUUCUUUGUUGCCAGCGAUUUGGUCGGGAACUCAAAGGAGACUGCCGUUGAUAAAGCGGAGGAAGGUGGGGACGACGUCAAGUCAUCAUGGCCCUUACGACCAGGGCUACACACGUGCUACAAUGGCGUAUACAAAGGGAAGCGAAGGUGCGAGCUGGAGCGGAUCUCAUAAAGUACGUCUAAGUUCGGAUUGGAGUCUGCAACUCGACUCCAUGAAGUCGGAAUCGCUAGUAAUCGUAGGUCAGAAUGCUACGGUGAAUACGUUCCCGGGCCUUGUACACACCGCCCGUCACACCAUGGGAGUGGGUUGCACCAGAAGUAGAUAGCUUAACCGCGAGGGGGGCGUUUACCACGGUGUGAUUCAUGACUGGGGUGAAGUCGUAACAAGGUAACCA